AUUGAACGCUGGCGGCAGGCCUAACACAUGCAAGUCGAGCGAGCGGCGGACGGGUGCGUAAUGCCUGGGAAUUGCCCAGUAGAGGGGGAUAACAGUUGGAAACGACUGCUAAUACCGCAUAGGAUUGGAUUGCCAAGGGAGGAUUAGCUAGUUGGUGAGGUAAUGGCUCACCAAGGCGACGAUCCCUAGCUGGGCUGAGAGGGUGAUCGGCCACACUGGAACUGAGACACGGUCCAGACUCCUACGGGAGGCAGCAGUGGGGAAUCUUCAACAAUGGGGGAAACCCUGAUGCAGCAAUGCCGCGUGUGUGAAGAAGGCCUUCGGAUUGUAAAGCACUUUCAGCGAGGAGGCGUUACUCGCAGAAGAAGCAACGGCUAACUCCGUGCCAGCAGCCGCGGUAAUUC
rnacentral:rRNA from 1 species